rnacentral:rRNA from 1 species
AUUGAACGCUGGCGGCAGGCCUAACACAUGCAAGUCGAACGAGUGGCGGACGGGUGAGUAAUGUCUGGGAAACUGCCCGAUGGCGGGGGAUAACUACUGGAAACGGUAGCUAAUACCGCAUACCAUCGGAUGUGCCCAGAUGGGCUUAGCUAGUAGGUGGGGUAACGGCGCACCUAGGCGACGAUCCCUAGCUGGUCUCAGAGGAUGACCAGCCACACUGGAGCUGAGACACGGUCCAGACUCCUACGGUAGGCAGUAGUGGGGAAUAUUGCACAAUGGGCGCAAGCCGGAUGCAGCCAUGCCGCGUGUAUGAAGAAGGCCUUCGGGUUGUAAAGUACUUUCAGCGAGGAGGCGUGACUCGCAGAAGAAGCACCGGCUAACUCCGUGCUAGCAGCCGCGGUAAUUC